AGUCCUGUCACGCAUUGCA
rnacentral:siRNA from 1 species